rnacentral:rRNA from 1 species
GGGUUGUGAGGUUAAGCGACUAAGCGUACACGGUGGAUGCCCUGGCAGUCAGAGGCGAUGAAGGGCGUGCUAAUCUGCGAUAAGCGCCGGUAAGGUGAUAUGAACCGUUAUAACCGGCGAUACCCGAAUGGGGAAACCCAGUGUGACUCGUCACACUAUCAUUAACUGAAUCCAUAGGUUAAUGAGGCGAACCGGGGGAACUGAAACAUCUAAGUACCCCGAGGAAAAGAAAUCAACCGAGAUUCCCCCAGUAGCGGCGAGCGAACGGGGAGGAGCCCAGAGCCUGAAUCAGCAUGUGUGUUAGUGGAAGCGUCUGGAAAGGCGCGCGAUACAGGGUGACAGCCCCGUACACAAAAGCGCAUGUGUUGUGAGCUCGAUGAGUAGGGCGGGACACGUGGUAUCCUGUCUGAAUAUGGGGGGACCAUCCUCCAAGGCUAAAUACUCCUGACUGACCGAUAGUGAACCAGUACCGUGAGGGAAAGGCGAAAAGAACCCCGGCGAGGGGAGUGAAAAAGAACCUGAAACCGUGUACGUACAAGCAGUGGGAGCACCCUUUGGGGUGUGACUGCGUACCUUUUGUAUAAUGGGUCAGCGACUUAUAUUCUGUAGCAAGGUUAACCGGAUAGGGGAGCCGGAGGGAAACCGAGUCUUAAUUGGGCGUUAAGUUGCAGGGUAUAGACCCGAAACCCGGUGAUCUAGCCAUGGGCAGGUUGAAGGUUGGGUAACACUAACUGGAGGACCGAACCGACUAAUGUUGAAAAAUUAGCGGAUGACCUGUGGCUGGGGGUGAAAGGCCAAUCAAACCGGGAGAUAGCUGGUUCUCCCCGAAAGCUAUUUAGGUAGCGCCUCGUGAAUUCAUCUCCGGGGGUAGAGCACUGUUUCGGCUAGGGGGCCAUCCCGGCUUACCAACCCGAUGCAAACUGCGAAUACCGGAGAAUGUUAUCAUGGGAGACACACGGCGGGUGCUAACGUCCGUCGUGAAGAGGGAAACAACCCAGACCGCCAGCUAAGGUCCCAAAGUCAUGGUUAAGUGGGAAACGAUGUGGGAAGGCCCAGACAGCCAGGAUGUUGGCUUAGAAGCAGCCAUCAUUUAAAGAAAGCGUAAUAGCUCACUGGUCGAGUCGGCCUGCGCGGAAGAUGUAACGGGGCUAAACCAUGCACCGAAGCUGCGGCAGCGACGCUGAUGCGUUGUUGGGUAGGGGAGCGUUCUGUAAGCCUGCGAAGGUGGCCUGUGAGGGUUGCUGGAGGUAUCAGAAGUGCGAAUGCUGACAUAAGUAACGAUAAAGCGGGUGAAAAGCCCGCUCGCCGGAAGACCAAGGGUUCCUGUCCAACGUUAAUCGGGGCAGGGUGAGUCGACCCCUAAGGCGAGGCCGAAAGGCGUAGUCGAUGGGAAACGGGUUAAUAUUCCCGUACUUGGUGUUACUGCGAAGGGGGGACGGAGAAGGCUAUGUUGGCCGGGCGACGGUUGUCC